AAUUACCUCAACGGCACAAUUCCUCCAGAAUGGGGCUCCACGCAACUUACCAUAAUUUCGGUUUACGGAAAUCGGCUGACGGGUACAAUGCCACGAGAGCUAGGAAGCAUUUCCACUCUCCAGCUUCUGGACCUAGCGUUCAAUCAAUUUUCUGGAAAUCUUCCUCCGGA